UACGGGGGGGCAAGCGUUGUUCGGAAUUACUGGGCGUAAAGGGCUCGUAGGCGGCCAACUAAGUCGGACGUGAAAUCCCUCGGCUUAACCGGGGAACUGCGUCCGAUACUGGAUGGCUUGAGUUCGGGAGAGGGAUGCGGAAUUCCAGGUGUAGCGGUGGAAAUGCGUAGAUAUCUGGAGGAACACCGGUGGCGAAGGCGGCAUCCUGGACCGACACUGA
rnacentral:rRNA from 1 species